CGCCCGUCACACCACGAGAGUUUACAACACCCGAAGCCGGUGGGGUAACCGCAAGGAGCCAGCCGUCGAAGGUGGGGUAGAUGAUUGGGGUGAAGUCGUAACAAGGUAGCCGUAUCGGAAGGUGCGGCUGGAUCACCUCCUUUCUAUGGAGAAUCGUUUCCUGCAACGGAAACAUUCAAAUAUACGCACGACGAAAGUCGGCGGAACACUUUGCAUUAGCAAAGUCUCAUCAUCCCAUUUGUUCAGUUUUGAUGGAACUUGAGGGGCCAUAGCUCAGCUGGGAGAGCGCCUGCCUUGCACGCAGGAGGUCAGCGGUUCGAUCCCGCUUGGCUCCACCAUAAGAUUCUGUCAAUUUAAUUUGUUCUUUGAAAACUAGAUAAACGAAACAAUUUUGCGAUUUAGAAAUAUCCUUUUCACUUUACUCGUGUCAAAACAAGUAAAGAUGAAAUAGAGUGCUAAGUGGAAUUUUUCGAAUGACGAACGACUUUUGCUUUAGCAACUGGAGAGGGUCAGUCGAAAAAUGAAACGUUGGUUAAGCUAUUAAGAGCACACGGAGGAUGCCUAGGCGCUAGGAGCCGAUGAAGGACGUGGCGAACAACGAUACUGCCUCGGGGAGCUGUACGCAAGCUUUGAUCCGGGGAUGUCCGAAUGGGGAAACCCAGCUAUCGUAAUGGAUAGUUAUCUCCACCUGAAUACAUAGGGUGGUUGAAGGCAGACCAGGGGAACUGAAACAUCUAAGUACCUUGAGGAAGAGAAAACAAUAGUGAUUCCGUCAGUAGCGGCGAGCGAACGCGGAUUAGCCCAAACCAGGGAGCUUGCUCUCUGGGGUUGUGGGACGUCUCACAUGGAGUUACAAAGGAACCGAUUAAACGAAGAGGUCUGGAAAGGCCCGCCAAAGAAGGUAACAGCCCUGUAAUUGAAAGUCUGUUCUCUCCGAGACGGAUCCCGAGUAGUGCGGGGCACGUGAAACCCCGUAUGAAUCCGGCAGGACCAUCUGCCAAGGCUAAAUACUCCCUAGCGACCGAUAGUGAAGCA
rnacentral:sRNA from 1 species